AUAAACUUUUAUCUUAAAUCACACACAUUCCGACACGUGUUCCGGGGUGCUCCAAGUAUUAGCUUAGGAGUCGGAUGCAUGGGGGAUGUGGAGGCCUAACC
rnacentral:sRNA from 1 species